rfam:Medicago truncatula strain A17 chromosome 5, whole genome shotgun sequence.
UUGUAGUGUGACAUGCCCGUUUGGGUUUUACUCUGAUGUUGAACAAUUAUUAUUUAAUUGAUUUUGGGAAACGGGGUGUUACACUCCA